GCGACUGUGGCGGAAUCGGCAUACGCGCUAGACUAAGGAUCUAGUCCGGGUUUAACUGGGUGGGAGUUCAAAUCUCCCCAGUCGCA
rnacentral:tRNA from 1 species